rnacentral:rRNA from 1 species
GGUUCCUGUCCAACGUUAAUCGGGGCAGGGUGAGUCGACCCCUAAGGCGAGGCCGAAAGGCGUAGUCGAUGGGAAACAGGUUAAUAUUCCUGUACUUGGUGUUACUGCGAAGGGGGGACGGAGAAGGCUAUGUUGGCCGGGCGACGGUUGUCCCGGUUUAAGCGUGUAGGCUGGUUUUCCAGGCAAAUCCGGAAAAUCAAGGCUGAGGCGUGAUGACGAGGCACUACGGUGCUGAAGCAACAAAUGCCCUGCUUCCAGGAAAAGCCUCUAAGCAUCAGGUAACAUCAAAUCGUACCCCAAACCGACACAGGUGGUCAGGUAGAGAAUACCAAGGCGCUUGAGAGAACUCGGGUGAAGGAACUAGGCAAAAUGGUGCCGUAACUUCGGGAGAAGGCACGCUGAUAUGU